GACGAACGCUGGCGGCGUGCCUAAUACAUGCCAGUCGAACGCUGAAGGAGGAGCUUGCUUCUCUGGAUGAGUUGCGAACGGGUGAGUAACGCGUAGGUAACCUGCCUGGUAGCGGGGGAUAACUAUUGGAAACGAUAGCUAAUACCGCAUAAGAGUAGAUGUUGCAUGACAUUUGCUUAAAAGGUGCAAUUGCAUCACUACCAGAUGGACCUGCGUUGUAUUAGCUAGUUGGUGGGGUAACGGCUCACCAAGGCGACGAUACAUAGCCGACCUGAGAGGGUGAUCGGCCACACUGGGACUGAGACACGGCCCAGACUCCUACGGGAGGCAGCAGUAGGGAAUCUUCGGCAAUGGACGGAAGUCUGACCGAGCAACGCCGCGUGAGUGAAGAAGGUUUUCGGAUCGUAAAGCUCUGUUGUAAGAGAAGAACGAGUGUGAGAGUGGAAAGUUCACACUGUGACGGUAUCUUACCAGAAAGCGACGGCUAACUACGUG
rnacentral:rRNA from 1 species